GAUGAAGAACGCAGCGAAAUGCGAUAAGUAAUGUGAAUUGCAGAAUUCAGUGAAUCAUCGAAUCUUUGAACGCACAUUGCGCCCUCUGGUAUUCCGGGGGGCAUGCCUGUUCGAGCGUCAUUACAACCCUCAAGCUUUGCUUGGUAUUGGACAUUGCCAGUUUCUGGCAGGUCUUAAAAUCAGUGGCGGUGCCAUUUGGCUUCAAGCGUAGUAAUUCUUCUCGCUUUGGAGAUCCAGGUGGUUACUUGCCAAUAACCCCCGAUUUUUUCAGGUUGACCUCGGAUCAGGUAGGGAUACCCGCUGAACUUAAGCAUAUCAAUAAGCGGAGGA
rnacentral:misc_RNA from 1 species